rnacentral:rRNA from 1 species
GUCCGAAUAGGGCGACAGUCGCUGGGUGUAGACCCGAAACCAGGUGAUCUACCCAUGGCCAGGAUGAAGGUGCGGUAACACGCCCUGGAGGUCCGAACCCACUAAUGUUGAAAAAUUAGGGGAUGAGCUGUGGGUAGGGGUGAAAGGCCAAUCAAACUUCGUGAUAGCUGGUUCUCUCCGAAAUGCAUUUAGGUGCAGCGUUGCGUGUUUCUUGCCGGAGGUAGAGCUACUGGAUGGCUAAUGGGCCCCACCGGGUUACUGACGUCAGCCAAACUCCGAAUGCCGGUAAGUGAGAGCGCAGCAGUGAGACUGUGGGGGAUAAGCUUCAUAGUCGAGAGGGAAACAACCCAGACCACCAACUAAGGUCCCAAAGACUACACUAAGUGGAAAACGUUGUGGGAGUGCAUAGACAGC